CUAACGUCCGUCGUGAAGAGGGAAACAACCCAGACCGCCAGCUAAGGUCCCAAAGUCAUGGUUAAGUGGGAAACGAUGUGGGAAGGCCCAGACAGCCAGGAUGUUGGCUUAGAAGCAGCCAUCAUUUAAAGAAAGCGUAAUAGCUCACUGGUCGAGUCGGCCUGCGCGGAAGAUGUAACGGGGCUAAACCAUGCACCGAAGCUGCGGCAGCGACGCUUAUGCGUUGUUGGGUAGGGGAGCGUUCUGUAAGCCUGUGAAGGUGUGCUGUGAGGUAUGCUGGAGGUAUCAGAAGUGCGAAUGCUGACAUAAGUAACGAUAAAGCGGGUGAAAAGCCCGCUCGCCGGAAGACCAAGGGUUCCUGUCCAACGUUAAUCGGGGCAGGGUGAGUCGACCCCUAAGGCGAGGCCGAAAGGCGUAGUCGAUGGGAAACAGGUUAAUAUUCCUGUACUUGGUGUUACUGCGAAGGGGGGACGGAGAAGGCUAUGUUGGCCGGGCGACGGUUGUCCCGGUUUAAGCGUGUAGGCUGGUUUUCCAGGCAAAUCCGGAAAAUCAAGGCCGAGGCGUGAUGACGAGGCACUACGGUGCUGAAGCAACAAAUGCCCUGCUUCCAGGAAAAGCCUCUAAGCAUCAGGUAACAUCAAAUCGUACCCCAAACCGACACAGGUGGUCAGGUAGAGAAUACCAAGGCGCUUGAGAGAACUCGGGUGAAGGAACUAGGCAAAAUGGUGCCGUAACUUCGGGAGAAGGCACGCUGAUACGUAGGUGAAGCGACUUGCUCGUGGAGCUGAAAUCAGUCGAAGAUACCAGCUGGCUGCAACUGUUUAUUAAAAACACAGCACUGUGCAAACACGAA
rnacentral:rRNA from 1 species